rnacentral:lncRNA from 1 species
ACUCCAGUUCCAGGACCCAGGGCGCCCUCCUUCUACCCGCUGAAGGCACCAGGCCCAGAUGUGCUGCACAGAUGCACAAGCAGAACUCUCCGGACACCGAAGUGUGCUGUCUCAGGACACCAAGGGGAUGUGACAAUCAGUUCUGACGCCAUCUACCUAAAGUCGAAGAUGAAAAUAACACCCAAUUAAUGAAACCUAUUAAAUGAGUAGCUAUAUACAGGUUUUUAUUACAGCAUCCCACCAAUAAAUGCUCUACCAAUGACUAUACUUUGACUGCU